rnacentral:lncRNA from 1 species
UUACAUGUAUGUGUGAAGCAUGAUUGACAGCACAGGUAACCACCAUUUUAUUAUUUUUUCUCUUGCUUUGCUGUAGCUUUCGAUCUUCAUCAUCACUCUGUGCCAUUAUUCGUCCGUAUUACUCCUAAUUGCAGACAGCAAUAAAUCUAUACAACUGCCCCAAUGCAUUUGGAUUGGCUGAUCCUGGUAACAUAGGCGAACUGCUGCUUGGAUCACCGACGAAAAAAGGAAAAGAGCUGGAGUAGAACCACUACAUCUUGGCCCAGGGCAGUCAGAGAGGAACAGGUGAGCCAGUCACCGACGAAGAGGCCAAUCAUUCCCGCUUACUCGACAACAGCAGUAAAAUAAAGGCCGGCAGAGGAAAACAACAGAAACCGGGAAAUUCUCUUAGGCUGCACGUCGGUUUUGUGCAUACUACGUAAGUGCAACGAAAUGAGCCCGCUCGGAAAGCGGUGGUUGCGGCCGGGAGUCGGACGAGCGACCUCGAGCUCAUCAACGCCACGCUACAGCGACUGAGCCACCUCGGCAGGC